rnacentral:misc_RNA from 1 species
GCCUAACAAUCCCAAAGAGAAUCAGCGAUGGGUCGAAGACCUGCAAGGUGUUACCGCCAGAUUAAGAACAAGCCUUAUCCAAAAUCACGGUUUUGCCGUGGUGUCCCAGAUCCAAAGAUCAGGAUCUAUGAUGUGGGUAUGAAGAAAAAGGGAGUUGAUGAAUUUCCUUUCUGUGUGCACUUGGUCAGUUGGGAGAAGGAGAAU